rnacentral:rRNA from 1 species
UACGGAGGGUGCAAGCGUUAUCCAGAUUCACCGGGUUUAAAGGGUGCGUAGGCGGGCAUUUAAGUCAGUGGUGAAAUACCUGAGCUUAACUUGGGAACUGCCAUUGAUACUAUUUGUCUUGAAUGUCGUGGAGGUUAGCGGAAUAUGUCAUGUAGCGGUGAAAUGCUUAGAUAUGACAUAGAACACCUAUUGCGAAGGCAGCUAACUACGCGAAUAUUGACGCUGAGGCACGAAAGCGUGGGGAUCAAACAGG